AUUGAACGCUGGCGGCAGGCCUAACACAUGCAAGUCGAGCGGUAGAGAGAAGCUUUCUUCCCUUUAGAGCGGCGGACGGGUGAGUAAUGCCUAGGAAUCUGCCUUGUAUUUGGGGAUAACGUUCGGAAACGGACGCUAAUAUCGCAUACGUUAUACGGGUGAAAGCAGGGGACCUUCGGUCCUUGCGCUAUUAGAUGAGCCUAGGUCGGAUUAGCUAGUUGGUGUGGUAAUGGCUCACCAAGGCGACGAUCCGUAACUGGUCUGAGAGGAUGAUCAGUCACACUGGAACUGAGACACGGUCCAGACUCCUACGGGAGGCAGCAGUGGGGAAUAUUGGACAAUGGGCGAAAGCCUGACCCAGCCAUGCCGCGUGUGUGAAGAAGGUCUUCGGAUUGUAAAGCACUUUAAGUUGGGAGGAAGGGCAGUAAAUUAAUACUUUGCUGUUUUGACGUUACCGACAGAAUAAGCACCGGCUAACUCUGUG
rnacentral:rRNA from 1 species